AUGUUCACAUAUAGAGCACAUUAGAAGCCAACAUUCUGCGGGCUAAAGAUCGUCGAGGCAAUCAACUUUUGUACUACUGUACAUCGUACCAAGCAGUUGUUGGCAGAAGUAAAAUGUUGAGGAAAUAUGUUACACUCUACAGGAAACAAUACAUUUUUAUACAUGAUACUAAGGAUUUAGCUGAUAGUUGUUAGUAUGUAGGUAACAAAUUAUUCAAUAAAAUACCACUAUUUGUCUAAGGAUUUACUAAGCAUGCUUAUAAACAUAAUGUGAUUGGCUCAUUGCCUGCCCAUUUUGCAAUGUGAAGGGAAAAUGAUUAAAUGUAAUUCCAGUGCUUAACCUACUCUUCUUUUACAGAGGGUAGUGUAACAUUUAUUGACAUUAUCUGUUGGUGUAAUGACACCAUUUGCCCCAAUGACUUGGUAAUAAAAUUAUUACUGUUAAAUUAUCCUUCAGGUAUGUCACAUGGAGCACUUAACUAAACAAACUUUGUUCUCGGCUAGAGUUUGAAGCAAGCUAUCGAACUGUUCACCAUUCCGUCGCCUUACAGAAUCGCCCACUGUAACUGUUUUGAAGCCAUAGUUGCUUGCACCAUUCUCCCAGAGGUGGACUUGGGGAUGUAUUUGGGGGAGGAGUGAAACAGUCUGUCAGAACUAGUCGUACAGCAAAAAUUUGAGGGGGCCAUCUGGAGGUGGCACUGAGGCAGCAACAACACACAUCACAACCUGUCGGUGAUGUGUCUGGUGCCAUCACCACAUACAGUUCAAUUUUUGGCUACCCUCACCACAUGCGGGGGUUUCCAGCGACCCCUUAGCAGCAUCCGGGCCCAUCGUGGAUGCCAUCCAUGUGUUUUGGACCAUCACAGAUGUAUUGGUUAUGCAGUUUUGAUGCAAAAUUGAACCUGAAAACCUGAUAAAAUGUGGAUUCCAGUGGAUAAAGCUCAAUGUGUGUGGCCUGGUAGAUACAGACGAUAUCAGAUACCCAAGUGCAAUGAUACUCUAGGACUUGGAAUACAUCAUUUAUGGAAACAGGUCGUGCAAUUUUGAUGCGAAAUGGAACCUGAAAACCUGCUAAAAUGUGGAUACCAGUGGAUAAAGCUCAAUGUGUGUAGCCUGGUAUAUACAGACGAUAUCAGAUACCGAAGUGCAAUGAUCCUUUCGGACUUGGAAUACAUCAUUUAUGGAAACAGUGCUCACAAGACGUUUACAGUGGGGUGUGCAGUUGAGAACAGUUCUCCAUCUACCCCUAAGCGCUCACCAGAAUUAUUCAAAGUGGGGCACUCUGCCAAUUCUAAGAAGCAGGCCAAAGAUGUCCUGGUAAGCAGCACAUUGUCAAUGCUGCGAGACA